UACGUAGGGGGCAAGCGUUGUCCGGAAUCAUUGGGCGUAAAGAGCGUGUAGGCGGUCCGGUCAGUCGGUUGUGAAAGUCAAGGGCUCAACCCUUGAAUGCCGGCCGAUACUGCCGGGCUAGAGUCCGGAAGAGGUGAGUGGAACUCCUGGUGUAGCGGUGAAAUGCGCAGAUAUCAGGAAGAACACCAAUGGCGAAGGCAGCUCACUGGGACGGUACUGACGCUGAGACGCGAAAGCGUGGGGAGCGAACAGG
rnacentral:rRNA from 1 species